AAAUGCGAUAAGUAGUGUGAAUUGCAGAAUUCAGUGAAUCAUCGAAUCUUUGAACGCACAUUGCGCCCCUUGGUAUUCCAUGGGGCAUGCCUGUUCGAGCGUCAUUUGUACCCUCAAGCUCUGCUUGGUGUUGGGUGUUUGUCCCGUCUCCGCGCGUGGACUCGCCCCAAAGUGAUUGGCAGCCGGCGUACUGGUCCCGGAGCGCAGCACAUGUCGCGCAAACGAGUGCCUUUGUACGGCGGCGUCCAUAAGCCCCUCUCUCACGCUCUUGACCUCGGAUCAGGUAGGGAUACCCGCUGAUCUUAAGC
rnacentral:misc_RNA from 1 species